UGUUGGUGAUGUGGAAAAUCUCGUGGAAGAGCCUUGAAUCAUUCCCAAGCAUGAUAUAACUUUUCAUCAGGCUUCUAUUUAAAGCUCACUAUCUCAUUGCAAAGU
rfam:Capsicum annuum cultivar Zunla-1 chromosome 1, whole genome shotgun sequence